AUUGAACGCUGGCGGCAGGCCUAACACAUGCAAGUCUAACGGUAGCACAGAGAGCUUGCUCUCGGGUGACGAGUGGCGGACGGGUGAGUAACGUCUGGGAAACUGCCCGAUGGAGGGGGAUAACUACUGGAAACGGUAGCUAAUACCGCAUAACGUCGCAAGACCAAAGUGGGGGACCUUCGGGCCUCACACCAUCGGAUGUGCCCAGAUGGGAUUAGCUAGUAGGUGGGGUAAUGGCUCACCUAGGCGACGAUCCCUAGCUGGUCUGAGAGGAUGACCAGCCACACUGGAACUGAGACACGGUCCAGACUCCUACGGGAGGCAGCAGUGGGGAAUAUUGCACAAUGGGCGCAAGCCUGAUGCAGCCAUGCCGCGUGUAUGAAGAAGGCCUUCGGGUUGUAAAAUACUUUCAGCGGGGAGGAAGGCGGUGGAGUUAAUAACUUCACCGAUUGACGUUACCCGCAGAAGAAGCACCGGCUAACUCCGUGCCAGCCGCCGCCGUAA
rnacentral:rRNA from 1 species